GAUGAACGCUGGCGGCGUGCCUAAUACAUGCAAGUCGAGCGAACAGACGAGGAGCUUGCUCCUCUGACGUUAGCGGCGGACGGGUGAGUAACACGUGGAUAACCUACCUAUAAGACUGGGAUAACUUCGGGAAACCGGAGCUAAUACCGGAUAAUAUAUUGAACCGCAUGGUUCAAUAGUGAAAGACGGUUUUGCUGUCACUUAUAGAUGGAUCCGCGCCGCAUUAGCUAGUUGGUAAGGUAACGGCUUACCAAGGCAACGAUGCGUAGCCGACCUGAGAGGGUGAUCGGCCACACUGGAACUGGGACACGGUCCAGACUCCUACGGGAGGCAGCAGUAGGGAAUCUUCCGCAAUGGGCGAAAGCCUGACGGAGCAACGCCGCGUGAGUGAUGAAGGUCUUCGGAUCGUAAAACUCUGUUAUUAGGGAAGAACAAAUGUGUAAGUAACUAUGUACGUCUUGACGGUACCUAAUCAGAAAGCCACGGCUAACUACGUG
rnacentral:rRNA from 1 species